rnacentral:snoRNA from 9 species
AUGGUCUGUUAUGUUCUGUUCUAUAGAAUCACACUGCUGCAUCCUUUAUCAAUAAAGAGGCAAGCACUUAAAUCUGGUUGAUGCAUUUUGACCUCUGGGCCAGAGUGUGAUUAAUGGUUAGGAUACUCCUGAUGCGAGGAAUCCAACAGCUAUAGAGGACUGUUCCCGCCUGGCUCAGGCCAUUGCAGCCUUGCACGGUGACCCAGUGGUUGCCUGUCAGACU